GCAGGUUAACUCUCCCCUUGAGUCCUUGGAUCCACGCCACAACAGCAGCAUUUUUAAGAACCUGAGAGACAUCAUUUUGGAGUGCACACACACACACCAAUUCAUGAGGUCUGGCGAGGCUCUUCCUUUAUGAUGCCUUUGUUUUUCUCCCUGCUGUAAUAUGUCUGAGGCAUCCUGUUACCCUGGUGCUCCUGGGUAGAGGAUCACUUCUAACUGAAUCACAUCACAGCAGUAUCUCUCUAUGAAGGUGUUUUUGUUCACAGAAUCACUAUUGUUCCUGCCUUGUCUCCGGCCAUCUCUGCACCAGGUAAGCAGGGGUCCUUUUUAUUUAAAAUUCCUCCAUUUUAGGAAGUCUAAAUAUAGCUUGUGUCCUGCAGCUCUCUGUCUGAAUUGAUUACCUCAUGGAUCAAGCCUGGCUUCUUAUUUUAGACCACAGAUUACUGCUCAGAGGAUUAACAGUACAGAGUGAGGUUUAGAAAGUGGGAUAAAUAGCUAUUGGAAGCUAUUGUAAUAAAUGGAAUGUAUCAGUGUAUAUUUAGAUACCACAAGGAUUAAGAAAAUAUUGUUUGUAAUGGUCUUGCUUAUGUAAAGGUGGGUGAUGUGGAAGGUUAUGAUUAGAUAUCAAAACACAUUAUUGUUAUGUGUCUCGGUGUCUUUGUGAUGUGAUUUCCUGUAUCCCAGGUUUAAUGCUCAUGAAUUAUAUUUCUGUACAUCCUCAUCUAUUCAUUUAUCCUGAAUGCAAUUUCAUUACCGUAGCCUUGCUUGGUGAGGGAUGAAAACGGGUGCAUUGACAAGGCCCUAAACGUAUCUUUACAUUGCGGUAUCAUUACUGUAUUUAUGAUUUUCCGCUGCUUCAUUAUCUUCAUUGAAUGAAACCAAGAUCACCCCGUAAUGGCAGCACAUUUACUUCUAAUGCCCUCUUUUACAUGAGAUAUUGGGAAAUAAUCCCAGGUGCUGCAGUAUUCUUUCUUCUUCGUUUGUUUGUCUGUGUUUAUUUCUUUGCUCGCCAAAAGGUUUCUGAAGGUUCAAUGAUCCCGAUGGUAACAACAUGCACACAGGACUCAGACUCCAUUCACAGUUACGUACAUCUAUCCAUUAAAUGUUGAUCUUCAGAAAACUUUAGUCCAAUAUGACCAAGCACAGGGACAGGGAGUGGUAGGUUGUCUCUUUCUGCUGAAUGUGAUAAUGUGCUAAAGUUCUCAAGGUUAAGUUUCACCUCAAUGAGUUUAAGGAUAGUGUACAUUGCAUCCUUGGCUGCAUCUAUAUCUGAAAAGCACAGUAAACUUAGAGAACACAGGUUUUUUAACCUUAAGAUUCUUCACUUUCUACAUAUUUCAUACCAUUAGGGGAAAAGUCUUUACAGCUCAAUUUAAAGUCAAUAAGAAAGUAUAAUUUUCAUAUUCAGUUCCCUUUGCAGGGAUUAAUAGGAAAUCGAAAUGCCACACAUUCUCUACAUAUUCUCAAAUGCCCAAUUCUCUCAGUUCAGUUGAAUUAGGGAGCUCCUCAGCCUCAACCCAUCCACGCUCCGUGAAACCUCCAGAGAUUUUGUUAAAUGAGAUUAUUUGGCCUAGAGAAGGCCAUCCCUAUUUAAACAGCAGCCAUUUUCUCUCAGUAGAAUUAUAGAGGACUCAUAUAUCAUUGACAUUGUCACUGAGCUAUAGCCUAAUCUGGCUACUGUGCAAAUUGUUACUUUGAUGGGCCUUUAUGUCUUUUCACUUUGAUGAAUUCUCCUACAUAUCCACAGUAGCCACCUUUCCUCAGUCUUCUUCCAAGGGCAAGCACAAUAGUUUCCCUUGGUCCUGGUUAAGAGGAUUUGGGCAGCUCUUCCUUUAAAUUAAUUCACUGAAGAGGAUUUGAGUAGGUUUUCUAUAGAUACCUUCAUUGGAUUGUAUGUCAGUUAUUAGCAUUUUUGUAGUAAAUAAAUAAGGGUAAAAAACGUUUUGGGAGACUUGACCAAAUUCACAUAGAACUGUGAGUUAUAGACCUACCAAUCUACUUUAAAACAAGUCUAAGAUGCAUUAUAUCUGUUUGAUGUGCGCUAUUUCUAUGCUUCAUGUUCUUAAGUUUUGUUUUUGUAUCUUUUACUUUCGGUUUUGUACACCAGUUUAUAACUGCUGAAAUACAAAUAUUUUUGGUUAUGGAAAAUAUAUUUCACAGCGAUUUAGAUAGUAUAGUGUAGCGAAUCAUUGUACUGUCUUAUUUUGUCACAUAAACUGAAAUUAGGCAAACUAUUAGAGUUUUAGCAAGCAGUUUUCUGCAUAGUGCAACUUUAACAAUAAAGACAUUUGGAAGCCUAUAUUAAUGUGUGCGGAUUGUUCAAUGUUUCAAAAGAUAAAAUAAAAGCAUGACUAAUUAUAGGUUAGAUUUAUGGAUUAAUAUACAGUACCAGUGUCACGUUCUGACCUUUAUUUUGUAUUUAUUUAGUAUGGUCAGGGCGUGAGUUGGGUGGGCAGUCUAUGUUUGUUUUUCUAUGUUUUGGGGUAUUUCUAUGUUUCAGCCUAGUAUGGUUCUCAAUCAGAGGCAGGUGUCAUUAGUUGUCUCUGAUUGAGAAUCAUACUUAGGUAGCCUGGGUUUCACUGUGUGUUUGUGGGUGAUUGUUCCUGUCUCUGUGUUUGCACCAGAUAGGACUGUUUAGGUUUUCGCACAUUUAUUGUUUUGUUAGUUAUUUCAUGUCUAGUUCCUUUAUUAAAGAACAUGAAUAACCACCACGCUUCAUUUUGGUCCGCUUCUCCUUCACCACAGGAAAACCCUUACAACCAGGCUGUAUCACAACUGGCCGUGAUUGGGAGUCUCAUAGGGCGGCACACAAUUGGCCCAGUGUCGUCCGGGUUUGGCCGGUGUAGGCCGUCAUUGUAAAUAAGAAUUUGUUUUUAACUGAUUUGCCUAGUUAAAUAAAGGUUAAACAAACAACAAACCAGUCAAAAGUUUGAACACACCUACUCAUUCAAGGGUUUUUCUUUAUUUUUUAAACUAUUUAUCUACAUUGUAGCAUAGUAGUGAAGACAUCAAAACUAUGAAAUACCACAUGGACUCGUAGUAAAAAUGAAAAUAUAUUUUAUAUUUGAGAUUCUUCAAAAUAGCCACCCUUUGAUAGCUUUGCACACAAUUAUUUUUUUCUUCUUUCAUAAUACAGAUCAACAAUUUACGUUGUUACGUCAUACAAAACAGAACACAAGUAUUAAAAAGAAAAUACUAAAACAUGCAAAAUAUAUAAAUUAAAUAAUAAUUAAAUAAACAAUUCUAGUGCAAUUGUAGUCACACUGAAAAAAAUCGUAUUAUAAUGUUUCUUGUUGUUAUUCACUAGGGUUCAUGUUUUAAUAAGAUAGUUAAAUUCAAUAAAAAAUAAAUGUAAUUUUUGUAUAAGUCAAUUCUUCAUGAUCUUAUCUGUCUCUUUCUUGGAAGGUUGUUUAUAUGAAUAUUAUAUAUAUUUUUAUCUGUAGCUGUAUGAAUAAUGAAUGAAAGCACCAGAUGAUGUAAAGGCGGACUAAUGAAGUUUGCAGUUUGAAUAGGACACACAACACACUCCAGUCAGAUGAAGGAGGCAGCACACUGAGUGUUUCCACUUUCCAUCUGCCACUGUGCUUGCGUAACCGUUCCAGAGGACAGCGUUGAGCAAGAUGGGGUCCCAGCACCAUGUAACAUGCAGCAUGCAGCACCAGCUGUGACUCAUGAUGAGCAGGACUCUCUCUUCCUCUUUCUCAGUCUCUCUGAGCCCUUCUGUCUGGGUCUAUGGGGAGAUGCUGGACCCCAGCUCCCCCUGGAAGCAAUAUGUCCCACUUCCACUAAAUGUCUGCUCCAUUAGCCUACAGGCCCAUUUGCCAACAUCCCCAGGACCUGUCACUGCCCCACCUCCUCCAGGAACAAGGUGUGAGGUCACCCUGGCCUUUUGUGAUUAGCUCCCGGCUGCUUUUUUAUGAAGGAGGAACAAAGUAGCCUAGUUCUUUCUGGUAAUUACCGUGCAAUCAGUUUAUAAUUCAUGUACCUUUUGAACUGAGAAGAGCAGGGGGUUGUCACAAGGUGUGGUAACUGUGCAAUAAUACACGUGUGCAUGGUUUUAUAAGUGGGGGGGGCAUAAUAUUAAUAUUAUAUAUAUAUAUUUUUUAUCCAGUCGGAUAAACACUCCAAACGGCCUACCCGACGCUCGGAGGCGUCCGCAUGGUCCUAAAGCACACCGCUGCCUUGUUUUGUAUCACAUUCCAAUGAUAAAACAUGGCGGACAAAAAUGUAAUUUCAGAAUGUUCCUUCCCCAGUGAAAGUUUCACCCCAGUGUAAAUGUGUAGCCUAAUUACAUUGUUGUGAAGGAGCAUCAAUCCACCCAUUGUUAAAACUCAUAAAUGUGACAAUGAAAUAAGUAUGAAAUUAAA